UGAGGAAUAUUGGUCAAUGGACGAGAGUCUGAACCAGCCAAGUAGCGUGCAGGAAGACGGCCCUAUGGGUUGUAAACUGCUUUUAUAAGGGAAUAAAGUUAGUCUCGUGAGACUUUUUGCAUGUACCUUAUGAAUAAGGACCGGCUAAUUCCGUGCCAGCAGCCGCGGUAAUACGGAAGGUCCGGGCGUUAUCCGGAUUUAUUGGGUUUAAAGGGAGCGUAGGCCGGAGAUUAAGCGUGUUGUGAAAUGUAGACGCUCAACGUCUGCACUGCAGCGCGAACUGGUUUCCUUGAGUACGCACAAAGUGGGCGGAAUUCGUGGUGUAGCGGUGAAAUGCUUAGAUAUCACGAAGAACUCCGAUUGCGAAGGCAGCUCACUGGAGCGCAACUGACGCUGAAGCUCGAAAGUGCGGGUAUCGAACAGGAUUAGAUACCCUGGUAGUCCGCACGGUAAACGAUGGAUGCCCGCUGUUGGUCUGAAUAGGUCAGCGGCCAAGCGAAAGCAUUAAGCAUCCCACCUGGGGAGUACGCCGGCAACGGUGAAACUCAAAGGAAUUGACGGGGGCCCGCACAAGCGGAGGAACAUGUGGUUUAAUUCGAUGAUACGCGAGGAACCUUACCCGGGCUUGAAUUGCAGAGGAAGGAUUUGGAGACAAUGACGCCCUUCGGGGCCUCUGUGAAGGUGCUGCAUGGUUGUCGUCAGCUCGUGCCGUGAGGUGUCGGCUUAAGUGCCAUAACGAGCGCAACCCCUCUCCUUAGUUGCCAUCAGGUCAAGCUGGGCACUCUGGGGACACUGCCACCGUAAGGUGUGAGGAAGGUGGGGAUGACGUCAAAUCAGCACGGCCCUUACGUCCGGGGCUACACACGUGUUACAAUGGCAGGUACAGAGAGACGGUCCCUUGCAAAACGGAUCAAAUCCUUAAAGCCUGUCUCAGUUCGGACUGGGGUCUGCAACCCGACCCCACGAAGCUGGAUUCGCUAGUAAUCGCGCAUCAGCCACGGCGCGGUGAAUACGUUCCC
rnacentral:rRNA from 1 species